UACGGAAGGCAGCAGUGGGGAAUAUUGCACAAUGGGCGCAAGCCUGAUGCAGCCAUGCCGCGUGUAUGAAGAAGGCCUUCGGGUUGUAAAGUACUUUCAGCGGGGAGGAAGGCGAUGCGGUUAAUAACCGCGUCGAUUGACGUUACCCGCAGAAGAAGCACCGGCUAACUCCGUGCCAGCAGCCGCGGUAAUACGGAGGGUGCAAGCGUUAAUCGGAAUUACUGGGCGUAAAGCGCACGCAGGCGGUCUGUUAAGUCAGAUGUGAAAUCCCCGGGCUUAACCUGGGAACUGCAUUUUGAACUGGCAGGCUUGAGUCUUGUAGAGGGGGUAGAAUUCCAGGUGUAGCGGUGAAAUGCGUAGAGAUCUGGAGGAAUACCGGUGGCGAAGGCGGCCCCUGGGACAAAGCUGACGCUCAGGGU
rnacentral:rRNA from 1 species